rnacentral:rRNA from 1 species
AUGAACGCUGGCGGCGUGCCUAAUCCAUGCAAGUCGAGCGAACAGAUAAGGAGCUUGCUCCUUUGACGUUAGCGGCGGACGGGUGAGUAACACGUGGGUAACCUACCUAUAAGACUGGGAUAACUUCGGGAAACCGGAGCUAAUACCGGAUAACAUUUGGAACCGCAUGGUUCUAAAGUGAAAGAUGGUUUUGCUAUCACUUAUAGAUGGACCCGCGCCGUAUUAGCUAGUUGGUAAGGUAACGGCUUACCAAGGCGACGAUACGUAGCCGACCUGAGAGGGUGAUCGGCCACACUGGAACUGAGACACGGUCCAGACUCCUACGGGAGGCAGCAGUAGGGAAUCUUCCGCAAUGGGCGAAAGCCUGACGGAGCAACGCCGCGUGAGUGAUGAAGGGUUUCGGCUCGUAAAACUCUGUUAUUAGGGAAGAACAAAUGUGUAAGUAACUGUGCACGUCUUGACGGUACCUAAUCAGAAAGCCACGGCUAACUACGUG